CGACGAACGACGCAGCGAAUUCCAUGUAAGAAAACUCCAGAGAACUAACGAGUUGUCGGAAGUUACAGCGACGAGGAAUUGCAUCCAUCAAAAUCAUCAACCUAUCGUCAUAUUCUAUACAAACAAAGAGGUGUAUUUAGAUGAGACAUUCGAUAUUGAUGACGAUUACAUAUACACAACGUCGAUCGCACAAGAGCUUGUAGCCGAAGUAAAACCGCAAUCUGCAACUCCCGUUCAAUCGCAAACGGAGCUGACAAUGCAUCAAGCUCCUUCUGAUCUAAACAAAGAUCCAACAAUGCAUUUAUCACGAAUUGUACUAUUCAUUUUUCAAUGGCCGACAUGAAGAAUAGCUUGAUUUCGCGAAUCAAUUUGAGUUAUCUGUUCACGACAAUCACUCUCUCAACGACUAUAGACGGUUGAAUUAUUUAACCUUAGCUGCAAGGUGAGUCUGUGUCAACUAUCGCAUUUUUAUCAAACAAUCAAGUUUAAUAGAGGAACGCUACUUAAACGCGAUAUAUGAAUUACAAAAAGUGCAAAGGGCAUCAUACAUAAAAACAGCUCAGUUUGUAAAUGCCGAAUCGCAUAUCUUAUUCUAAAUCGUUCAAUGUAAUGAGUCGACCAUUGCGCGAUACGAUACUUAUUUAUAUCUUAGUUUGUAAUGUAUUGACAAAUACACAGAUAUUAAGUCA